rnacentral:tRNA from 1 species
CCAAGUGGUAAGGCAACGGGUUUUGGUCCCGCUAUGCGGAGGUUCGAAUCCUUCCGUCCCAG